AUGCGGUCGAGGCAGCGGCGGCAUAGUAGGAGGCUGCGGCUGCCGCCUUGGAAGCCGGCGCCGACGCCUCCGGCCGUCUCUUGCGCCUCCAUUUCUUGGAGGAAGCUGGCGAAAUUCUGCUCGAUCGUAGUGGUUUGUAGCCUACCCCGAAUCACAAAGAGAAACACCAAGAUAUUUGGCGAUAAAGAAAAGGAAUUUUGUCGUCUCCUAAUAAUUCUUACGCUUCUCGUAGCAUCUCUGGAAACAACACAACGGACGGACCAAUCGAUCAAGAAGUUAAGGCCCUGUUCGGUACCGCUCCAUAACUUCGAGAGCGGAGUUGGCGGAGCUGCAGUUCAAAACGGCGAAGUUGCAAUUUCCCUGCUUCGCAGAUUUCGGGAGUGA
rnacentral:rRNA from 1 species